GUGAUUUUACAUUUCAUGAAAAGCAUUUGUAAAGUAAUGGGUUGCAGCUUCCAUGGAUAUAUUUCUUGGAUCUCAGCAAUGGUGGAAAUACAUGAUCCAUCACAACAUUAAAAGCUGUAGCUCUAGAAGUGCACUUCAAUCAAACCUGAAAUCUUUACUCUUGUGGAUUGAGAUUGGUUAUGGAUGGGAUGCCUACAUCUAUUGAAGGUCUCAGUAGCAUUAUUAGCUUUGUUAUUGAACACAGAUAAAUUACAUGGUGUAUACUUAUAUGCAUGAUUAAUUAAAUUUAAAUGAUUCAGCAUCUUAGAGGCUUGCAAAUCAUUUUGUAUAAACAUAUUUGUUAAUAAAUUUAGUAUUCAUUGAAAAUUUGCUCUGUUUAUUGUAUAAGUGCUGCAUGUUCUGAACAGUCGGUUGGGAAUGUAAGAGGAUGCUGAGUUAUUCAGCUGAAGUUUUAUAUUUUGUAUUUAUAAUAUUUAUAAAGUUAAUAUUUGUUUUGUGAGGACUUAUUUGUGAUGUUUCUUUUUGAGUGUACAAAUAAAGUGGUAUUUUGUCUUGCUUAAACAUCAGCUACUUUUCUGAAUGUAUACAGGAAAUGCACCACCAUUCGUGUUGUUUUGUUGAGUGUCACUGAAAUUAGUUUAGUGUGUAUUUGUUGAGUAUGUCCACAGAGUGUGUGUACAUCACUAUUAAUAACUAAAUAAGAAAUGUAUGUACACCAUCUGAAGGGUAUGUUAGAAGUGUAAAACGUUACAUAUUUGUUUUGAAAUUGUGCAAUUAUAAUAGUAAAACACUAUUAUUUGCCACAUAAGUGAAUAUUAUGAUGUCAGUAUCACUAAAGAAAGUGCACUUGAUGAUCAUCAUAGAAGUCAGUAUACUUUGAUACUGAUACAACUGGUUAUAAGGGAUUCUGAGAUCUUGAGAAGAAAGACAAAAGUGAAAGUUAAAACAACAUAAAACAAUGGUGAAUGGAAACUGUGAAUCAGAUUUGUGUUUGCAGUAACAGUGUAUUGUGUAGAAAACCAGAAAGCCCAAUGAAAAUUGAUGUUUAUAAAUAUGUAUUUUAGAUCACUUAUAUGGCUUUUCCAAAAUAAAAACAAAAUAUUUUUCUUAA